CGCAGCCAGGCGCGCGCGCACGGAGCCUCGCGCAGAGCGGCGCGCGCGCCCUCUCCUCUUCCCUCUCCCCCCCCCCCCCGGCCGCCGGGCGCGCGCGCACAGCCGGGGCCGCCCGGUGGCUCUAUAGCCCGGCGGACCGCGAGCGCUGCAGGGGCAGCGCCGGCCCGUCCUCCCUCGGCACUACGGACACCUCGGCGGCAGCUGCCCGGCUCCGGGCUGCAGCUGUUGUUGCCAUGAUGAUGAUGUCACGGACGCAACCAUUGCGGUGGCAAGAAGGGGAGGACUCGAUGAUUCGGUGAUCGGCCGCCGAGGCUGGGGCGAGGCUGCGGAAUUCCGAGCCGCGGAUUGGACAGGCCGGGGAGGGGAGGACGAGGGAGCGCCACUGGGCCAGGAUUGGGUUAAGCUGGGCCGGCCGCCAUUUUGGAUGCUGAGUCGUCUCGCUGCGGGAAGGUUGAGAGCACGCUUCUACUUUUCAUAUUCUUUUAGCAGCCAAGUGAAGAAGUUAGCCUCCAGGGUCAUACCAAGGUCUUGCCUUUGUCUCCCAUGAAAAAAACCUACCAGUGAACGUGCAUGCAGAAAACACAAAAGUAUUCAACAAAAAAAACCCUCAAAUGUAAAAAUGAAUAAAGAAUUACACAUGUAAAAAUGCAGAAAUAUGCCACUUUAUUUUAAUUGAGAAACAAUCUAUUUAAUUGAACAGCAUAUGUAUUAUACAGGAAAAUGGACAGUAAACCUUUAAUGUUAAUUCUAGGGAUAAGGUCAGUUUCCUGAUCUGUUCUUUGCUGUCAGAUUUCUACAUCGCAAGAAGGGGGUUGAGGUUCCUAUAUGCUAGGAGAAUGACCUGUUGUUGAGAAUGAAAUGUUUGUAUGAUUGUGUAACAAAUUAACGAAAUUUACUGUUAAAAGAUCACACGCACAAUUGGGGAAUAGCUAACUGUAUAGUGGUAAAUGAUGUUUAGUGGCUGGCUACAUGGCAAUGAGAAGUUGAUAGAUGAAAUUUGAUUAAGAUGAACUGAUUACAUCUUAGAUAAUUGAGUAGUGCUAGAGCUAUUUUAUGAGUGGCAUUGCUGAAUCAGAGUGAUUAAAAAAUAAGUCUCUGAUGCUUGGAUCUAAUGACUGUAAAGUUGGGUAUUGGCAUAAAAGAAAAUUGUGUGUAACGAUAUAUAACAUUUCAACAUUGUUUGUGGGAAUGGUAUGUUUGGCAGUGAGAGUUACUAGCAAGUAGUAGAGUGUAAAGAGAAAAAUGUUUGAGCGGAUAGUUUUUGUUGUAAAAAUAGUAAAAGUAAUUGCUGUAUUUUUACAAAAAAGCUGCCAGUUGAAACUGUAUGUGGUUAAUUCUUCUAUCAUUCUUCCCAGGAGAUAGGUUGUGUGAUUGGUGGGGUUUUACUAACUUAAAAUAUAUAUAAUUUAUGUGUACAUGUAUGUAUAUGUGUACAUAUCCCUGCCAAACUCUGAAAUUUCUAUUCCAUACAAUGGAGCUUAGGUAAAUGAUUUUAAGAAUUAUUUUUAAAUGGGCAAAUGGAGCAUUUUCUUUUCAUACUCUUGUUUUUAAAAAUAGUUGAAGCAUUUAGUUGAACCUCUCCAUUGAGAAAGAUGUCCAGUGUGGAGAGAGGCCAAAUGCUUCAAAUAGUAAAUAACUGAAAAGAAGAUUUAAUAAUGGAAAAUUUUCAAGUACCUUAAAAACCAAGAGCCCUGUUAGUCUGCUAUAGUUGUAGGCGAAUGUACAUGCAUGUAUUGUUAUUAAUUGAAUUUUUGUUAUUUUUAAAUGCAAAAUGUGUUUUCUGUGAAUGAAUCCCAAAAAUGAUGAGGCUGCAUGGUGAGUGGUGAAAUCCAUUUAACUUUAGAUACAGUAUUUUUUUUUCUUUCCUAACAUGUAGCCUGGUUUAUGGGAGGUAUUCCCCAUUCAUGCAUCAGACAAAGUGAAAGAUGCCUCGGUGCAAUAUGUAGAUCGCAAAGAGCCAUCUGUUUUCUGAAAAGAGAUAGGAGGAGUGUGACCAUCAGAGUAAACUUAAAAUGUUUUUAAGAUUAAAUUAGAGAUGGCAAAGAUCAAUUAAGCGCUUUGUCUGUUUCUGUCAGUAUUGGUCCCUGUAAUAUAUGAAUGCAUACAUUAUGCUGCAGUUCCAAAUAUCUACUUUUUUUUUUUCUGUUAGGAAGAUUAUCCAUAGUUUAGAACUCAGUAUAUGUUUCUUAUAUUUGCUAAAUCUUUCCUUUCCUAAUUAUGUAUGUAAUUUCUAUCACCUCAAAUAUAUAUAUAUAUUUUUUUGCUUCUUA